CAUGUAGGGCAACAGCUGUUGUCAGAAAUACCUAUUUAAUUUGGAUUUUAAAGCACCAUGAACUACAAAGAUUGUGUCCCGACCAGAAGUGGAACUUGUAGAGGAGUCACAGAUCAGAACGACUACGUGGAGGUCAACUGUGUUAAUCUGGACAGUAAAAUGUGCUCACUUAUCACUUCCUCACCUGGAACACCAAAAAGUUACUUUUGAGAGUGACUACUUUCAAAUCUCAGUUGUGCUUUAUGGAAGCCAGUAGCACAGCAGAGGCAGAAAGGAGACCAAGGUUUUCAAGACUGCUGAAUAACCCUCAGUGGUCAGACUAAAGGCUCUAAAACAGAUGGUGAAGCCUUUCACAGUCAGAUAUGCCACACAUCAAGAUGAGGAAAAUGUUUUAAUUUCCAACAGACAGAGAUGAUGACAAAGAAAUAAACUACUGUUACAGUUGCUUUAUAGGCCUGAUGUUCUGAAGAGGCACAAGAACUACCAGAUCUGACACCAUUUCACUACUGGGACAAAACCUGAGAUAAUGAAGAACUGAUUUCAAUAGAGACUAAAGGAAUCAAGGAAAAGAAAAAGAAAGGAAAGGAAAUGAAAAGAAAAGGAAAGGAAAGGAAGGGAAAGGAACAAGAAAAGAAAAUAAAGGAAAAGAAAAAGAAAGGAAAGGAAAUGAAAAGGAAAGGAAAGGAAAGGAAAGGAAAGGAAAGGAAAGGAAAGGAAAGGAAAGGAAAGGAAAGGAAAGGAAAGGAAAGGAAAGGAAAGGAAAGGAAAGGAAAGGAAAGGAAAGGAAAGGAAAGGAAAGGAAAGGAAAGGAAAGGAAAGGAAAGGAAAGGAAAGGAAAGGAAAGGAGAAAGGAAAAA